GGGUCGUAGUUCAGUUGGUCAGAACGCCGGCCUGUCACGCCGGAGGUCGCGAGUUCGAGUCUCGUCGGCCC
rnacentral:tRNA from 1 species